UCAGUCGACUCCUACGGGGAGGCAGCAGUGGGGGAAUUUUGGGACAAUGGGCGAAAGCCUGAUCCAGCCAUGCCGCGUGAGUGAAGAAGGCCUUCGGGUUGUAAAGCUCUUUCAGAUGGAAAGAAACGUACAGGUUAAUACCUUGUGCGGAUGACGGUACCAUCAGAAGAAGCACCGGCUAACUACGUGCCAGCAGCCGCGGUAAUACGUAGGGUGCGAGCGUUAAUCGGAAUUACUGGGCGUAAAGCGUGCGCAGGCGGUUAUGUAAGACAGAUGUGAAAUACCCCGGGCUCAACCUGGGAACUGCGUUUGUGACUGCAUAACUAGAGUACGGCAGAGGGAGGUGGAAUUCCGCGUGUAGCAGUGAAAUGCGUAGAGAUGCGGAGGAACACCGAUGGCGAAGGCAGCCUCCUGGGCCAGUACUGACGCUCAUGCACGAAAGCGUGGGGAGCAAACAGGAUUAGAUACCCUGGUAG
rnacentral:rRNA from 1 species